rnacentral:rRNA from 1 species
UACGGAGGGUGCAAGCGUUAAUCGGAAUUACUGGGCGUAAAGCGCACGCAGGUGGCUGAGUCAGUCGAUUGUGAAAGCCCUGGGCUUAACCUGGGAAUUGCAGUCGAUACUACUCAGCUAGAGUAUGGGGAGAGGGUAGUGGAAUUCCCGGUGUAGCGGGUGAAAUGCGUAGAUAUCGGGAGGAACAUCAGUGGCGGAAGGCGGCUCACUGGCCCAUUACUGACGCUGACGGCACGAAAAGCGUGGGGGAGCAAACAGG